GAUGAAAAGGAAGGGGUGCCGCAGCUUGCACAGAAGGUAUGGGAAUGGCAUUACUGCUUUAUUCUUUGCCUUGGUCUACACAGGAAUAAAGCAAAGAAGAAACUGGUGCCUAAGGUCACACUGAUAAUAGAUGAAGUGAUGGAGCAAGGAUUCAACCGCCAGCAGUUCGGUUCCUCAGCCUGCAGAGUCCUUGGAGAUAUACCAGAGUACAAGGAAGGAAGAGAAUGACAGAAUGGAAAGGGACAUCACCAGGUUUGCAUUGUGAUCACCACGCUAUGCAUCUACAUCCCUGUUGUGAUGCUGUGGUUCAAAUCUGUCAGCAGAACUAAGGCAGGACAAUCACUCCUGCAAUUCUACUUAAAUUGCAAAACAGCAAUGUGGUUUAUUGGAAAAUGUCCAGGUCUGGAGCCUGGCCUGAGUCUUCACCCAAUCACUCACUAGCUGUGCAUCUGUGCUAAUGACUAUAUAUCAGAUGGAUAAUGAAAAAGUCCUGACGUUCAGGAGAUGGCUGAGGAGAAUGUUUGCCUGUGAACAAUGGGGAUACAGGCAAGGCAGAGCACAGCAAGGCACAAAGAUGAAGAUGGUCUGUUCAGUGGGCAAUGGCAGGGGACAGGGACUCCAGAGACUUGCCAGCUGCAAGGCAAUUGAAGGAGAAGGAAAGAGAAGAUAUUUGGAGACAGUAACCACAAUAUGAAAUAUAACAUUUGAAAA
ensembl:lncRNA novel transcript, antisense to CADPS2